GUCUUACAACUGAAGUCAACACAGACUCGUCAGUCUGACAAAUUAACCAGUCAGUGUGUCGCGUCUAUGGGUGUUACUGGUACGCGUCUGUUUCAACUCCCAGCCUGACAGAAUGUGUUUUUUUUUUUUUUUUUUUUUGUGUGUAACCACGCCUACACAGUGGCUGCCAAGGCUUACCCAUGAGUUAAACCUUCUUUAGUUGGUAAUGAGGAAGGCAUGGGCUCUAACAGUGGACACCCGAAGGCAGCAGUGGGUGAAAACAAGCAAAAUAAAGAAAAGUUUGGCUGUGAGAAGGUGCUAGACAGCCAGCCAUAGUGACGAGGACGCAGGAAGUUAGAUCACCACCACAGGGAAGUGAGAUGGGGAGGAGGAUUUAAAAGAACAUGUUUGCAGUGCGCUGUCAGCCCUCACCUGUGCCGCCUCCCCCAGUGAGCGGGUGUAGGCCUGGGAAUAGAACAUAUGCAGACGUCUUGGCAGUGCUGUGUAUGUCUGUUUGUCGAUGGUCAAGAAGGAACGUAGCAAAAGUUUAAGUACGAUAAUAUGGCCAAAACAAUCUGGCAACGCUGCAGUCGUCACUCGACGCAGCAUAACACAAGGACAAGGCAAAGAAGCACGUGUGGCUGCUUGGCUCCAGCUUUUGUGGCCUACACGUUACUCUCACACCGACGAGAUGAUCAUACCCAUCCGCUGCUUCACCUGUGGCAAGGUGAUCGGGAACA